rnacentral:rRNA from 1 species
UACAGAGACUGCAAGCGUUAUUCGGAUUCACUGGGCGUAAAGGGUGCGCAGGCGGCCAAGUGUGUUAGGCGUGAAAGCCCGGGGCUUAACCCCGGAAUUGCACCUAAAACUACAUGGCUAGAGCAUUGGAGAGGGUAGCGGAAUUCACGGUGUAGCAGUGAAAUGCGUAGAUAUCGUGAGGAACACCAGAGGCGAAGGCGGCUACCUGGACAAUUGCUGACGCUCAGGCACGAAAGCGUGGGGAUCAAACAGG